CAUGUAGCUCACUGGUAGAGAGCCUGCCUAGCAUGCAUGAGGCCCUGGGUUCCAUCCCCAGCAUG
rnacentral:tRNA from 1 species